GUGGUGGCUCAGCAGUAGAGUGCUUGCCUAGCACAUGUGAGGUCCUGGGUUCGAUCCUCAGCACCACA
rnacentral:tRNA from 1 species